UGUGAGCUCUAGUUUUUUUGCAAUUCUUGUUUUUCACUGUUCACCAUAAUCUUUGUUUUUCACAAUACAAGAAUUCAAUAGUUUAUUAAACACAUAGCCAAAGUAGUACAAUAUGAGUAUAAAUGUAAGUGACUUAUAUAGCAUUGAACAUGACAUGUAUAGCAUUGAAAAUGACAUGUAUAUCUAUGUACAGUUGGAAGUAUGCAAAAAUGUAUUCUCUUGGGAUACACAGUAUCUUUCAAUUUAUGACUUGUUUACACAUUUUUGUCUACUUGAAGAAGCCAUGGUCCGAUCUGAAAAAUACAAAUAUUUAGGUUACAAAACUAU